rnacentral:lncRNA from 1 species
UUCAUUUUAUUUCUCAUUUCUAACUACUCAUAUCAACCUUAUGAGUGCAUAAGACAAUAGAUCAAAAUAUCCAUGAUCAAUCCACUCAAAUACAGGCUACAAUGAGAUUUAAAAGAAAACACCUUCAUGACCACUAAUUAACCCACCUAAUAACCGACCAAUACCAACAAAUGAGCCAAACACACAAGUGUAUUAACAAUAAGGGAACAAGUGUUAACCAACUUCAUCCACUCAUUACAAAUACAGCACCUAUUAUAUAAGUUCAAUUCACUCACGGUACACAUGAAGAUCAUGUUAAGCUAAUGAUAGUAGGAUUUAUUGUUACCCUAAAUAUUACAUUGAUUAUUAUAAUGAUACAUGCAUAUCUAUGAUAAAUGAGAAUAGACUCUCAUG